GCCAACGGCCACACCAUGCUGAAAGCACCGGUUCUCGUCCGAUCACCGAAGUCAACCAGCAUCGGGCGCGACUAGUACUGGGAUGGGGGACCGCCUGGGAACACCGCGUGCCGUUGGCG